rnacentral:pre_miRNA from 1 species
CGUCAGUGGAUGAUUGCUGGUACCCAGCACUGAACUGUAUCAGCAGUUGUACCACUGAUUUG